CAAAUCAACAGACUAUGUCCUCCUCUCCUACGUUUUGUCUGACAAGCAGCAUUUUUUUAAUAAAAGACAGGUGAACGAGUAAAUGAAUGCAGUGCAGAUCCAGUGCAGAUAGCUGCCUGCUGGCUGUGUUGGAACCAGGGAGACGUCAAAUGGUCCUCUAUCCUGAGCUUGGCUGCUUCAGGACAUCUCUAUUGCAGAUUAUAGUCUGGCUCGCAGCUGGCCAGAAGAGGCAGUGCACUGACAGACCACGUGGGGCUUACAUGAAGGGUGCAGUAGAUCUAACCAAUGAUGGUCACAAAUACAGUGAUGGACACUGGGAUGUGGUGGCCCUCAUCAGUGUGAGUGAACUGCACCAGGUGAGCAAGCUUUGGUCGCAUAAGUCAGGGUGAAUGACCAAAAGUCCAAAGACAGGGACGGAGCAGAUGACAGGCCUGGCUAGCUCAGGGAUGCAAGCAGCCUUGAUUAUUAAUUCCACUUGAGACUAAUCUAGCUGAUAAGGAAGAUGAACUAGUGAUAACUGGAUAUCAUCAGAAAGGAUCUUUUGGACAUAAAAGGGCCAUGUCCUCUGAAUGGACCAGAUUUCCACUUGUAGCUAAAACUCUCAGAAAGAUCAGGACAUUUGGAGAUCCACUAGAGAUAAUUCAUAACUCAAAAAUCCAUUCUUUCUAGCUCAUUCCUACAAAUAGAUCUUGCACUGGGUCCUAGACUCUGAGGCCUAUAGGAUUUAGAUCAGUGGAGAGGGAAACAGAGGCCAUUUUGGUUGAAAAGGAUAGAAGUAGGUACAUAAUGAAAUGUUGGCUUUUUUUAAAAUAAGGGAAACUAUUUGUGAUCCCAGUGUUACUGACAUAGAAGUAGGUUCACAUAUCCGUCCCACAGCAAGUCCAUCUCUGACACCAGGUGUAGUGGAAGAAAGUAGGAAUUUUAUUGCAAAGCUCUGAUCAAGGAGAAUGGGCUGCUGACAGUGCAAUCCUGAACUCCCCAGAAAGCUACAAGCAAGGGUUUUUAUUUGGGGUCUUAGUUAGGGGAGGGGGAGCAUGUGGCCUUGGGGGCUGAAGUUUUAAGAGUCCUCUCUGCAGGCGCAACUGUCUUUCAUAUUUCUUCGUGGAUAAUGUGGAGAUUUGGGGGGUUCUACGUGUUGCAUGUGGUAGACUUUAAUCUGUGGUCUCUACAGUUUACU
rnacentral:lncRNA from 1 species